rnacentral:tRNA from 1 species
GCCCCUGUGGUGGAAUUGGUAGACGCGCCGCACUCAAAAUGCGGUUCUUAACGGAGUGCCAGUUCGAGUCUGGCCAGGGGCACCA